AGUGGUUUCCUCAGUUUUUCUAACGUGGCUAGCGCCCUUUCUUUCUCUUGAAUCAAGAUUUCAAUGAGGAGGAUUUUCUUCCAAAUGUUUAAGAAUGUUUGAAUGACAAAAAUGUCUUAGCACUAUGUCCUGCAGUGGAUUAUAUGAUCUGGAGAUCAACCAUUUGACCAAAAAAAACAUAGUAGGCCCUAAAGAAAAUAUUACAAGGAUAUUACCAAAAUAGAAAGCAACAUAGCCAGCUAAUCCAAGCAAUGGAAAUUUAGGAAGAAAGUAGACAGGCUCCCCAAUUUGAUAAUCAUGGAAAAACUACUACUAGUAUAUUAGCUUCAUCAUCUUUAGAGACUAACAUCUCCAUCAGACUACGACUCCCUCUGGGUGUUUCAGUUAUAAUUCUUUGCCAUCAUAAUUACAUCCAAUUAAAAUGCUAUGGUGAAGAAACUAAGGCACAGUAGUUAUUCACAUCAAUUGUUUGGUUUGUUGCAAAUCAAGAAGUGGAAAGGAUCUAUUCCAUGUUUUUACUUCGGGUUCCACUCCAGUGAUGGAUGUUUCAGCUUUGUUGCCAUGUAUGCACAAGAAGAAAUGCUUUUCCUUGGAGGUCUUGGAAGGAUUAAUAUUGUAAAAAUUUAAGGAUAUUUCAUAGUAAGAUUUAUAAAUUAUUUUAAACAUCGUUACAUCAAGAAACACUUGGUAAUUAAUUAUUGUAAACUAUUGUAUUUUCCUUAAGAUUAAAUGUAUUUUGAUUUAAAGAAAAACAUUCACUGUUACUUUAAUAUGUAGGGCAUUUUUCAUUUAAUUGCUGAUUGCAAAAAAAUUAAAGGUAUUCUUUUCAGGGAUUGCACAUAAAGGUCAAGGAUUCUUCUCAACAAACAUUCAUGAAACUUUAGGUAAAAAUUGUUUCAAAAUUCCUGGGAUCAAUGUUAGUGCAUUUGUUGAUUUCUUGCAGAAGAAUUGGAAGAUAUCAAACUAUUUCAUCUACAACCCUGUCGCAGAAGGUGCGCAUCCAUUAAGAACAUGUUUCACUAACCUGUAAAACUUAGAUCCCAAAAUUUAAUACACAUUUAGAACUUAAUUUUUAUAUCAAAAUUUUGUUUCUUUACAAAAAUUACAAUGAGGUCUUGUGUAAAACAGGUGUCUGAAGUUAGGUGGAAAGAAAAUUAGUAUUAUGAAAUUGUAAUACAAUUUAAUGUAAAUAAAACAAUUUCAUCAUA